rnacentral:rRNA from 1 species
UACGUAGGGUGCGAGCGUUGUCCGGAAUUAUUGGGCGUAAAGAGCUUGUAGGCGGUUUGUCGCGUCUGCUGUGAAAUCUCAAGGCUCAACCUUGAGCUUGCAGUGGGUACGGGCAGACUAGAGUGUGGUAGGGGAGACUGGAAUUCCCGGUGUAGCGGUGGAAUGCGUAGAGAUCGGGAAGAACAUCAGUGGCGAAGGCGGUCUGCUGGGCCGUUGCUGACGCUGAGGCGCGACAGCGUGGGGAGCAAACAGG